CAAUUGCAAACAUGUACUAAACAAAAAGAAAUUAUAGGUCUGACAUUUGCUUCUGCUUUCUUCACAGUCCCAGGUGGGCUAUCACAACUCUCAGCAUCUUCUCUCUGCAGAUGAUGUGUGGAGGAGUUCUUUGGAGGUGCAGUGGCCAUCUUCUGACCAUAGAGGGCAAGCUUGAAGAUUAAAACCAAUGUGCUCAGGAUGAAGAUUUGGGAAUGUGGAAAGAGUCCAGUCCUCAGGAAGUCAUGGAGCCAUGGAAGUGCUAAGUAGGAGAAUGGGAACUCCUGAAUCUGAACCUCCUCCUUUGCAGCAAAACAGUCCCCAGGUUUCCAAGUGACUGUAGAAGAUUAGCAGGCAGAGCCAACCUGCAAAUGUGCUACCCCCAGACUUCUUAUUAUGGUUGAUUGUGAGUGUAGUCCACUUUUAGUUGAUCACUUGCAGCUACAAACAACCUAACAGACAUAGUGGGCAUGUUUAAAUAAAUCUCUUUUGUGUUUCUGUUUGCUAUUUUUAAGCCCUUGAUGUAGUGGGGAAAAAAGGUCUAUUAAGUCCUGACCCAACAUUUCGCAUAAAAUUGAACUCACUUAUGCACUUGAAUAGAAUGAAAAUGAUGAUUCAGUUAGCACAAAGCCAUGAAUCAUGAAAACUAAAUUAUUAUGGUAGCUUAUUUUACAUAAAAUCAGCUUUUGAUAGGAUAUAAAUUGAAAAGCACACAAUAUAAGUAGUAGAGGUAGAGGCUUUAAAAUAUCUAUGUUGAUGAUAGGAAAUGAAAUUAAAAUAUUUUGCAAGGAUUAUUCUCAAAGCACAUAACUGAGAACUGACUGAGUGUUGGCAACAAAGGAAAAUUUAUCUCCUGUUACAUGAUGUGGGACAUAACAUUCUUAUUAAGUAGAAUUGGAAUUUUCUGAAUCUCCUUUGCAACAAAACAGCUCCCAAGUUGCAAAUUGAAUCACAAGAUUAGUAGGCAGACUGAUGAGGAUUUAAUUUUUAAAAUAUGCUGUAAUGUUUGAUG
rnacentral:lncRNA from 1 species